rnacentral:rRNA from 1 species
AACGAACGCUGGCGGCAUGCCUAACACAUGCAAGUCGAACGAGACCUUCGGGUCUAGUGGCGCACGGGUGCGUAACGCGUGGGAACCUGCCCUUAGGUUCGGAAUAACUCCCCGAAAGGGGUGUUAAUACCGGAUAAUGUCUUCGGACCAAAGAUUUAUCGCCUUUGGAUGGGCCCGCGUUGGAUUAGCUAGUUGGUAGGGUAAAAGCCUACCAAGGCGACGAUCCAUAGCUGGUCUGAGAGGAUGAUCAGCCACACUGGGACUGAGACACGGCCCAGACUCCUACGGGAGGCAGCAGUGGGGAAUAUUGGACAAUGGGCGAAAGCCUGAUCCAGCAAUGCCGCGUGAGUGAUGAAGGCCUCAGGGUUGUAAAGCUCUUUUACCCGGGAUGAUAAUGACAGUACCGGGAGAAUAAGCGCCGGCUAACUCCGUG